AAAAUGGAAAGAAAGGAGGUGUAAUUGACAUACCCAUACAGAUGAAGGGGAGUAGUAAAUUACCGGAGGGUAAAAAUGGAAAGGAAGGGAAAAAAGGUGGAGGAGGAGAUAAAAACAGUAAGAGCAAAGGCGGAGGAGGAGACAAGAACGGUAAAAAAAGUGAAAAAGAUGGUAAAAGUGGCGGCGGUGGAGGUGGAGGUGGGUUAUUAGGGUUCAUGAGGAGGAGUAAAAGUGGAAGAGAGAGUGGCGAUAGUAAUAACAAGGGUGGCUAUAGUAAAAAUAAGGGCAGUGUUGGCGGAGGCGGCAAUAAAGGCGAUGGGCCUAAGAAGGGCGGCAAAGGGGGCCACGAAAUGAGUGGCAAAAUA
rnacentral:lncRNA from 1 species